GCCCUCGUGGCGGAAUUGGUAUACGCGCGGCGCUUAGGACGCCGUUCCCGUAAGGGAUUAGAGGUUCAAAUCCUCUCGAGGGCACAA
rnacentral:tRNA from 2 species